CCACCACCUGGGAGAGGCCUCCCCUCACCCCGCCCCCUGCCAUGGGCACCAGGCUCUUCUGCUGAUGACCUUUGGUCUCCUGGAAGUCACUGGGAACCCGAAAGUCACCCAAAACCCUAGCCGCUACAUCCCAGAGAAGAGACGGAUCAUGGCUCUGAGGUGUGAGCCCAUCUCUGGUCACUUGUACCUUCUGUGCGACCCAUAGAGCCCAGAAAAGGGAGCGGAGUUACUGAUAUCCAUCUGUAACAGCUUCCUUGAGAGAAGGCAGACUUUGUGAAGAACCGAUUCUCAGCUAAGACUCCUGACAGAUCCUACUUGCUCUGAAGACUCUGGCCCUGCCGCUGGGGGGCUCAGGUGGGCAGCCCUGUGCCAGCUGCUCAGCCACAGCCUUCCAGAUGCUUCCUGCCCUCACCCAAACUCGAGGCUUCUCUGCGCCACCCCCUUCCACAGUGGUUACCCACAGCCCUUCCUGCCCAGAGGCUGCAGCAGUUUCCCAGGAGCAAAGGUGACCAAUACAGUGAUCCAACAGUUCUAUCCACUUCUCCGUGCUCAUCAAGAGAAGUGGACUUUUCAUCUGAUUCACCUGUUUCACCCAUUUCCCCACCACCGCCUCCCUCUUUGGCAACCACCAGUUUGUUCUCUGUAGUUA